rnacentral:lncRNA from 1 species
GCUAGCCUGUGGUGGGUGUGCAGCUCUAAAAAUGCAUAGUAUUUGAAACUCCAUGUUUGAACAGAAAUAUAAUAGCUGAUCGAUCUAUAUAGUCAAACACAGAUUUGUCAAUUAUGCAUGCAACUUUGUUGGAAUCCUUGCGCACUACAAGCACAGAUACAGAAAUUGAGUGACUACCUUGAUGUUUCACCUAGCUACCCUAUUGUUUAUGAGAUUCGAGCAUAUUGAUAAUGGCAAUAAUGAAGGGAUCAUCGAUGUUUUUGGCAUUGAGUUGGAUUUCUGUGAUGCUGCCAACUCAGAGAAAGAGGUCAUCGAGCUGCUAGACAUGCUCGAUUGGAAGUGAAGGGCUGGGUAGUUGCUUUCUAGUCUGAACACCUUGCUGCUGAAGAUCAAAUCUGACCUGGUUGGUGUUGGUUCUUUCGAAUCCAAAGUUUGUAUAUAUGUUCCUGUCAAUGGUCAAUAAGUAUCCUGGAAAGCUUUUGAUAUUGAUCUCUAUCUCUUGUUUGUAACAUGCCGAACUCUUCCCUUGGCCUCCUCAUUCCAUUUCUACACAUUUCCUCCACCAAUCUAAGGUGCUCGCCCUAUACCUGUCUCUCUCUCUCUCUCUUUCAAGUAUCUGACUUGUAUUCAUCGAAUGAAGAGUGGUUGCGCUCAGAGAUUAUUGUUGCUUCGGGUUAAUUGCUUGCCGGAGCAGACCACUAUAGAAAUUGAAGAAAACUCUGAGACCCACCUGCAAUAGGAGGAAAGAAAGAAGAGAUGAGGGCAAGAUAGAAAAGAAAGGAAAACAAAUGCAGGAGAGAGGAAAAAAUAAAAGAGCAUAAAGAAGAAGAGAUCAAAUGUUUUAGAGAGGAGGAGUUCUGAGGCGGCAGAGUUCUGAGGAGAAAAGGAAAAGAAAAGAAGUGAACCCUAGCAACUCACCAAGUAUUGAGAUUAUCACGAUCGGAAGAGAACAACCAAAACACAAAACACCGUCGUGGCACUUGUCCAGGAAACACGCACAAUCCAUGUGAGAGGACGACCAAGACGAAGCCGAACCAGAGAGCCUUUCGGCUCAUAAACCCAAGCAACACAAAAAAAAAAGGAGAAAACACAGAGUCAAUGAAGAAACGAGCUACGAAAAAAGGAGUACCAGGAAAAAAUGUAGAAAAACAGAGCAGCUGGGCGAAAAAGUUUCAACGCCGGGGGACGAAUCUCUCAGAAGCAAAACAACAAUUUCCUUUACCCUACAACAGCGCUCAAGUAAUUAGAAAAAAAUAAGACUAAAUAUUAGCUUGGUAAAGGCCGGGGGAAUAGGUAAUCAGAUCCAACCACUAAUAGAGCUAAUGCUGAACAAAGGAAAAGGAAGAAGACCUGGGAGAGAAAGCAGCAAGGCGAAUAAUGCUGGGAGAGUAAAAGGCUGAAGAGAAUAAUGCUGAGAGAAUAAGCUCGAACCCAUUAAUGCUCCGGCUGAAAAGCUAA